rnacentral:rRNA from 1 species
CUUUCCGGCCAUACCACGUUGAAAACACGCCAUCCCGUCCGAUCUGGCAAGUUAAGCAACGUUGGGCCUGGUUAGUACUUGGAUCGGAGACGGCUUGGGAACCCCAGGUGUCGUAAGCU